rnacentral:rRNA from 1 species
CCUACGGGAGGCAGCAGUGGGGAAUAUUGCACAAUGGGGGAAACCCUGAUGCAGCAACGCCGCGUGAGUGAGGAAGUAUUUCGGUAUGUAAAGCUCUAUCAGCAGGGAAGAAGAUGACGGUACCUGAGUACGAAGCCCCGGCUAACUACGUUCCAGCAGCCGCGGUAAUACGGAGGGGGCAAGCGUUAUCCGGAUUUACUGGGUUGAAAGGGGGCGUAGACGGUGAGAAAAGUCUGAAGUGAAAGCCCGGGGCUCAACCCCGGGACUGCUUUGGAAACUGCCUGACUGGAGUGGUGGAGAGGCAAGCGGAAUGCCUGGUGUAGCGGUGAAAUGCGUAGAUAUUAGGAAGAACACCAGUGGCGAAGGCGGCUUGCUGGACAGUAACUGACGUUGAGGCUCGAAAGCGUGGGGAGCAAACAGGAUUAGAUACCCGGGUAGUC